UGAAGAUGCAGGUUACCCGCGACAGGACGGAAAGACCCCGUGGAGCUUUACUGUAGCCUGAUAUUGAAUUUUGGUACAGUUUGUACAGGAUAGGCGGGAGCCAUUGAAACCGGAGCGCUAGCUUCGGUGGAGGCGCUGGUGGGAUACCGCCCUGACUGUAUUGAAAUUCUAACCUACGGGUCUUAUCGACCCGGGAGACAGUGUCAGGUGGGCAGUUUGACUGGGGCGGUCGCCUCCUAAAGUGUAACGGAGGCGCCCAAAGGUUCCCUCAGAAUGGUUGGAAAUCAUUCGUAGAGUGCAAAGGCAUAAGGGAGCUUGACUGCGAGACCUACAAGUCGAGCAGGGACGAAAGUCGGGCUUAGUGAUCCGGUGGUUCCGCAUGGAAGGGCCAUCGCUCAACGGAUAAAAGCUACCCCGGGGAUAACAGGCUUAUCUCCCCCAAGAGUCCACAUCGACGGGGAGGUUUGGCACCUCGAUGUCGGCUCAUCGCAUCCUGGGGCUGUAGUCGGUCCCAAGGGUUGGGCUGUUCGCCCAUUAAAGCGGUACGCGAGCUGGGUUCAGAACGUCGUGAGACAGUUCGGUCCCUAUCCGUCGUGGGCGUAGGAAAUUUGAGAGGAGCUGUCCUUAGUACGAGAGGACCGGGAUGGACGCACCGCUGGUGUACCAGUUGUUCUGCCAAGGGCAUAGCUGGGUAGCUAUGUGCGGAAGGGAUAAGUGCUGAAAGCAUCUAAGCAUGAAGCCCCCC
rnacentral:rRNA from 1 species